GAUGAACGCUAGCGGCAGGCCUAAUACAUGCAAGCUGAACGGUAAAUGUUACAGCAAUAUGAUAUGAGAGUAGCGUAAGGGUGCGUAACACGUAUGCAACCUGCCCGCAACAGGAGGAUAGCUCCCCGAAAGGGGAAUUAAUACUCCAUAAUAUCACGAGAGGGCAUCUGCUUGGGAUUAAACUCCAAGGGGAUGCGGAUGAGCAUGCGUCGGAUUAGUUAGUUGGUGAGGUAACGGCUCACCAAGACGACGAUCAGUAGGGGAACUGGGAGGUUGAUCCCCCAAGCUGGCAAGGAGAUACGGGCCAGACUCCAACGGGAGGCAGCAGUAGGGAAUAUUGGUCAAUGGGUGAGAGCCUGAACCAGCCAUGCCGCGUGCAGGAAGACGGCCUUCUGGGUUGUAAACUGCUUUUGUCAGGGGAUAAAAUACCCGUGCGCGGGGAAUUGAAGGUACCUGAUGAAUAAGCCACGGCUAACUACGUGCCAGCCGCCGCUGUAACAC
rnacentral:rRNA from 1 species